rfam:Daphnia pulex DAPPTscaffold_4347_Cont15655, whole genome shotgun sequence.
AUCGCUUCUCGGCCUUUUGGCUAAGAUCAAAGUGUAGUAUCUGUUCUUAUCAGUUGUUUCCAGAUGCCACUCGCUUGAUCUUUUUGCCUCUUGUCCCAACCUUU